rnacentral:rRNA from 1 species
AAAAAACCGUGUGGCAAUCCAAAGGCGUGAUGCGGACCGAAUUAAAGUAGGGAAGUGUGUGAGCCAUGAAUCAAGAAAAGCCGCUAUUGUUUUUAAGAUACCCGUACCGUAAACCGACACAGGUGGAUGAGGAGAGAAUCCUAAGGCCGGCGGAAGAAGCAUUGUUAAGGAACUCGGCAAAAUGACCCCGUAACUUCGGGAGAAGGGGUGCCAACGAGAGUUGGCCGCAGAGAAUAGGCUCAAGCAACUGUUUAGCAAAAACACAGGUCUAUGCAAAACCGUAAGGUGAGGUAUAUGGGCUGACGCCUGCCCGGUGCUGGAAGGUUAAGAGGAGAGGUUAGCGCAAGCGAAGCUUUGAAUUUAAGCCCCAGUAAACGGCGGCCGUAACGAUAACGGUCCUAAGGUAGCGAAAUUCCUUGCCGGGUAAGUUCCGACCCGCACGAAAGGCGUAAUGAUUUGAGCGCUGUCUCGACAAUGCAUCCGGUGAAAUUGAAGUACCAGUGAAGAUGCUGGUUACCCGCGCCAGGACGGAAAGACCCCAUGGAGCUUUACUCCAGUUUGGUACUGGGGUCCGGCAGUGCAUGUACAGGAUAGGUGGGAGGCUGUGAACCUGGAACGCCAGUUUCAGGGGAGCCAUUGUUGGGAUACCACCCUUGUGCUGCUGGGCUUCUAACCAGCGGCCUUUAUCAGGCCGGGGGACAAUGCCAGACGGGGAGUUUGACUGGGGCGGUCGCCUCCGAAAGGGUAUCGGAGGCGCUCAAAGGUUCCCUCAGAAUGGUCGGAAACCAUUCGAAGAGUGCAAAGGCAGAAGGGAGCUUGACUGCGACACCGACGGGUGGAGCAGGUACGAAAGUAGGACUUAGUGAUCCGGUGGUAUUAAGUGGGAAUGCCAUCGUUCAACGGAUAAAAGCUACCCUGGGGAUAACAGGCUUAUCACUCCCAAGAGUUCACAUCGACGGAGUGGUUUGGCACCUCGAUGUCGGCUCAUCGCAUCCUGGGGCUGUAGUAGGUCCCAAGGGUUGGGCUGUUCGCCCAUUAAAGCGGUACGCGAGCUGGGUUCAGAACGUCGUGAGACAGUUCGGUCCCUAUCCGGCGUGGGCGUAGGAUAUUUGAGAGGAGCUGUCCUUAGUACGAGAGGACCGGGAUGGACUGACCUCUGGUGUACCGGUUGAACCGCCAGGUUCACGGCCGGGUAGCCAAGUCGGGAAGGGAUAAACGCUGAAGGCAUCUAAGCGUGAAGCCCCCCUCCAGAUGAG